rfam:Oryza glumipatula chromosome 5, whole genome shotgun sequence.
AAAAAGGCAAACCCUGGUUUUCCGUGCCAACGUUUGACUGUCCGUCUUAUAUGAAAUUUUUUUAUAAUUAGUAUUUUCAUUGUUGUUAGAUGAUAAAACAUGAUUAAUACUUUAUGCGUGACUUGUCUUUUUAUUUUUUUCAUAAUUUUUUCAAAUAAGACGGACGAUCAAACGUUGCACACGGAUACCAGAGUUUGUCUUUUUU